rnacentral:rRNA from 1 species
GACGAACGCUGGCGGUGUGCUUAACACAUGCAAGUCGUGCGACGAGCCAGACUUCGGUCUGGGGCAAAGCGGCGAACGGGUGAGUAACACGUGGGUAAUCUGCCCCGAUGACUGGGACAACCCGAGGAAACUCGGGCUAAUACCGGAUGUGGUGCCUGGACUCAAGUCCGGUCACUAAAGGUAGCUUCGGCUUCCGCAUUGGGAGGGGCCCGCGGCCCAUUAGCUUGUUGGUGGGGUCAAGGCCUACCAAGGCAACGAUGGGUAGCUGGUCUGAGAGGACGAUCAGCCACACUGGGACUGAGACACGGCCCAGACUCCUACGGGAGGCAGCAGUGGGGAAUCUUGCGCAAUGCGCGAAAGCGUGACGCAGCAACACCGCGUGAGGGAAGACGGCCUUAAGGGUUGUAAACCUCUUUCAGAUGGGACGAAGGUGAUGCGGUGAAUAGCCGAUGUCAUUGACGGUACCGUCAGAAGAAGCUCCGGCUAACUACGUGCCAGCAGCCGCGGUAAUC